rnacentral:rRNA from 1 species
CGCUUGUUUAUCAAAAACAUGUCUUUUUGAGUAUAAUUUAAAGUCUGACCUGCCCACUGAAUUUAUUUAAAGGGCCGCAGUAUUUUGACUGUGCUAAGGUAGCAUAAUCACUUGUUUUUUAAUUGAAAACUAGAAUGAAUGGUUUGAUAAAAAAUAAGCUGUCUCUAUUUAAAAAUUAUAAAAAUUUAAAAUUUUAGUUAAAAUGCUAAAAUUUAUAUAAAAGACGAGAAGACCCCAUAGAUCUUUAUAAUUGUUUUUAAUAAAAUUAUUUAUUUUUAAAAAUAUUUUUACAAAAAUAAUUAUUGAAUUGGGGCGAUUAAAAAAUUUAAUAAACUUUUUUAUAUUUUAAAUACUAAUUAGUAUAAAUUUGAUCCAUUAUUAUGAUUAUUUGAUUAAGUUACCUUGGGGAUAACAGCGUAAUUUUUUUGGGGAGUUCAUAUCUAAAAAAAAGAUUACGACCUCGAUGUUGAAUUAAAGUUAAUUUUAGGAGUAGAAAUUUAAAAUUUUAGUCUGUUCGACUAUUUAACUUUACAUGAUCUGAGUUCAAACC